rnacentral:rRNA from 1 species
CAAAUCAGCCAUAUCACCCUGCAACUCACAACUGGUAACCCACUGAAGCUAAGCAGGUGUGAGCCUGGUCAGUACCUGGAUGGGAGACCUCCUGGGAAAAACUAAGGUUGCUGCUGGAA